rnacentral:rRNA from 1 species
UCGGAACGCUAGUUUCGAUUGAGUCACCCUUGAGAUACUACCUCUGUUGUAUGAACGUUCUAACUCUGAUCAGUUAUCCUGAUCGAAGACAGUGUCUGGCAGGCAGUUUGACUGGGGCGGUCGCCUCCUAAAAGAUAACGGAGGCGCUCAAAGGUUUGCUCAGAAUGGUUGGAAAUCAUUCGUAGCGUGUAAAGGCAUAAGCAAGCUUGACUGUGAGACUGACAAGUCGAGCAGGUACGAAAGUAGGACUUAGUGAUCCGGUGGUUCCGUAUGGAAGGGCCAUCGCUCAACGGACAAAAGCUACCCCGGGGAUAACAGGCUCAUCUCCCCCAAGAGUCCACAUCGACGGGGAGGUUUGGCACCUCGAUGUCGGCUCAUCGCAUCCUGGGGCUGUAGUCGGUCCCAAGGGUUGGGCUGUUCGCCCAUUAAAGCGGUACGCGAGCUGGGUUCAGAACGUCGUGAGACAGUUCGGUCCCUAUCCGUCGUGGGCGCAGGAAAUUUGAGAGGAUCUGUCCUUAGUACGAGAGGACCGGGAUGGACAUACCUCUGGUGUACCAGUUGUUCUGCCAAGAGCACCGCUGGGUAGCUACGUAUGGAUUAGAUAAUCGCUGAAAGCAUCUAAGUGAGAAACUAACCUCGAGAUGAGAUUUCCCAUUCGUCAGAAGUAAGACCCCUGAGAGACGAUCAGGUAGAUAGGCUAGAAGUGGAAGUGUAGUGAUGCAUGGAGCGGACUAGUACUAAUAGGUCGAGGACUUAACCAAG